rnacentral:rRNA from 1 species
GACGAACGCUGGCGGCGUGCUUAACACAUGCAAGUCGAACGGAAAGGCCCUGCUUUUGUGGGGUGCUCGAGUGGCGAACGGGUGAGUAACACGUGAGUAACCUGCCCUUGACUUUGGGAUAACUUCAGGAAACUGGGGCUAAUACCGGAUAGGAGCUCCUGCUGCAUGGUGGGGGUUGGAAAGUUUCGGCGGUUGGGGAUGGACUCGCGGCUUAUCAGCUUGUUGGUGGGGUAGUGGCUUACCAAGGCUUUGACGGGUAGCCGGCCUGAGAGGGUGACCGGCCACAUUGGGACUGAGAUACGGCCCAGACUCCUACGGGAGGCAGCAGUGGGAAAUAUUGCACAAUGGGCGGAAGCCUGAUGCAGCAACGCCGCGUGCGGGAUGACGGCCUUCUGGUUGUAAACCGCUUUCGCCUGUGACGAAGCGUGAGUGACGGUAAUGGGUAAAGAAGCACCGGCUAACUACGUG